AUACGUAGGGUGCGAGCGUUGUCCGGAAUUACUGGGCGUAAAGAGCUCGUAGGUGGUUUGUCGCGUCGUCUGUGAAAUUCCGGGGCUUAACUCCGGGCGUGCAGGCGAUACGGGCAUAACUUGAGUACUGUAGGGGAGACUGGAAUUCCUGGUGUAGCGGUGAAAUGCGCAGAUAUCAGGAGGAACACCGGUGGCGAAGGGGGGUCUCUGGGCAGUAACUGACGCUGAGGAGCGAAAGCAUGGGUAGCGAACAGGAUUAGAUACCCUGGUAGUACAUGCCGUAAACGGUGGGCGCUAGGUGUAGGGGUCUUCCACGACUUCUGUGCCGUAGCUAACGCAUUAAGCGCCCCGCCUGGGGAGUACGGCCGCAAGGCUAAAACUCAAAGGAAUUGACGGGG
rnacentral:rRNA from 1 species